GAUCGUACAAAUUACAUGGAUAACUGUGGUAAUUCUAGAGCUAAUACAUGCACCAAGCUCGUCUCCUCGUGGGACGAGCGCAGUUAUUAGAUCAAAACCAAUCCGGCCUUCGGGUCGGUACAAUUGGUGACUCUGAAUAACCGAAGCGGAGCGCAUGGUCUCGUACCGGCGCCAGAUCUUUCAAGUGUCUGACUUAUCAGCUCGUUGUUAGUUCAUGUUACUAACAAGGCAUUUACGGGUAACGGGGUAUCAGGGUCCGAUACCGGUGAGGGAGCCUGAGAAACGGCUACCACAUCCAAGGAAGGCAGCAGGCGCGCAAAUUACCCACUCCCGGCUCGGGGAGCUACCGACGAAAAAUAACGAUGCGAGAGCUUUAUGCUCCUCGUAAUCGGAAUGGGUACACUUUAAAUCCUUUAACGAGGAUCCAUNNNNNNNNNNNNNNNNUGCCAGCAGCCGCGGUAAUUCCAGCUCCAAUAGCGUAUAUUAAAGUUGCUGCGGUUAAAAAGCUCGUAGUUGGAUCUGGGUCGUCGAUGAGCGGUGCGCUUUACGGCGUUUACUGCUUGUUCGGCACCACAAGCCGGCCAUGUCUUGCAUGCUCUUCACUGAGUGUGCUUGGCGACCGGAACGUUUACUUUGAAAAAAUUAGAGUGCUCAACGCAGGCGUACGGCCUUGCAUAAUGGUGCAUGGAAUAAUGGAACAGGACCUCUGGUACUGCUUUGUUGGUUUUCGGAACUCGAGGUAAUGAUAAAUAGGAGCAGACGGGGGCAUU
rnacentral:rRNA from 1 species